rnacentral:rRNA from 1 species
AUGGCUGAAGGAGGUGGAAAAAAAUUUGGUAGAAAUUACCUCACAUGGACAGAUGAAAUGGACACUACACUACUCGAGGUCCUUGUUGAGCAUCACAACAAUGGCGAUCAUGCCCAGAAUGGAUGGAAGUCCCAUGUCUACAGUGCUGUUAUAGGUAAUGUGCGUGAGAAGUGCUCUGUGACCAUCACAAAGGAAAACAUCAGUUCAAGGUGCAAAACCUUUGAAAAGCACUACGAGGCCAUUAGCAAGAUGCUAUCUCAAGCUAACAAGAAAGUAGGAUUUUACAAGAACAGGGUCAUUAAGAAUUGGGAUGCUAUCACCACCAUAUACUCAAAAGAUCAUGCAAAUGGUGAAGGUGCUGUCACUGGUGCUGAAACUGUUGUAGAACCAACUACGGAACCCAAUGAAGCCUCUCCUGAAAUGAAAGGCUCAUUUCAUGAUGCUUUGAAGUCACUCGAGCCUUUACCUCUGCCCCAAGUUACACCUCCUGCUGAAAUCCUUGCGACACUUGAGAUAAUCCCUGAUCUAGCUCGUGGUGACAUCUUGCGAUCUUAUGGUAAGAUGAUCCUUAGCGAACGCUUGUACCAAGCCCUUCUUGAGCUUCCCAUGAACUUCAGGAAGGAAUGGUUGUUGAUGUUGAAUUAG